UACGGAGGGUGCAAGCGUUAUCCGGAUUCACUGGGUUUAAAGGGCGCGUAGGUGGGUUGGUAAGUCAGUGGUGAAAUCCCCGAGCUUAACUUGGGAACUGCCAUUGAUACUAUCAGUCUUGAAUACUGUGGAGGUUAGCGGAAUAUGUCAUGUAGCGGUGAAAUGCUUAGAUAUGACAUAGAACACCAAUUGCGAAGGCAGCUGGCUACACAAAUAUUGACACUGAGGCUCGAAAGCGUGGGGAGCAAACAGG
rnacentral:rRNA from 1 species